rnacentral:rRNA from 1 species
CAGCCGCCGCGGUAAUACGAAGGGUGCAAGCGUUACUCGGAAUUACUGGGCGUAAAGCGUGUGUAGGUGGUUGUUUAAGUCUGUCGUGAAAGCCCUGGGCUCAACCUGGGAAUUGCGAUGGAUACUGGGCGACUAGAGUGCGGCAGAGGAUAGUGGAAUUUCCGGUGUAGCAGUGAAAUGCGCAGAGAUCGGAAGGAACAUCUGUGGCGAAGGCGACUAUCUGGGCCAACACUGACACUGAGACACGAAAGCGUGGGGAGCAAACAGGAUUAGAUACCCCCGUAGUCCCUGUCUCUUAUAC